GACUCGUCACACUAUCAUUAACUGAAUCCAUAGGUUAAUGAGGCGAACCGGGGGAACUGAAACAUCUAAGUACCCCGAGGAAAAGAAAUCAACCGAGAUUCCCCCAGUAGCGGCGAGCGAACGGGGAGGAGCCCAGAGCCUGAAUCAGCAUGUGUGUUAGUGGAAGCGUCUGGAAAGGCGCGCGAUACAGGGUGACAGCCCCGUACACAAAAGCGCAUGUGCUGUGAGCUCGAUGAGUAGGGCGGGACAC
rnacentral:rRNA from 1 species